rnacentral:rRNA from 1 species
GACGAACGCUGGCGGCGUGCCUAAUACAUGCAAGUCGAACGCACUCUCGUUUAGAUUGAAGGAGCUUGCUCCUGAUUGAUAAACAUUUGAGUGAGUGGCGGACGGGUGAGUAACACGUGGGUAACCUGCCCUAAAGUGGGGGAUAACAUUUGGAAACAGAUGCUAAUACCGCAUAAAACCUAACACCGCAUGGUGUAGGUUGAAAGAUGGUUUCGGCUAUCACUUUAGGAUGGACCCGCGGUGCAUUAGUUAGUUGGUGAGGUAAAGGCUCACCAAGACCGUGAUGCAUAGCCGACCUGAGAGGGUAAUCGGCCACACUGGGACUGAGACACGGCCCAGACUCCUACGGGAGGCAGCAGUAGGGAAUCUUCCACAAUGGACGAAAGUACUGAUGGAGCAACGCCGCGUGAGUGAAGAAGGUUUUACGGUAGUCGUAAAACGUACUGUUGUUGGUAGAAGAAUGUAUCUGAUAGUAACU